rnacentral:rRNA from 1 species
GAUGAACGCUGGCGGCGCGCCUAACACAUGCAAGUCGAACGAUUAAAGCACCUUCGGGUGUGUAUAAAGUGGCGAACGGCUGAGUAACACGUGGGCAACCUGCCCCUUUCAUUGGGAUAGCCACGGGAAACCGUGGAUAAUACCGAAUACUUCGAGACUUCCGCAUGGAAGACUCGAGAAAGCUCCGGCGGAGAGGGAUGGGCCCGCGGCCUGUUAGCUUGUUGGUGGGGUAACGGCCUACCAAGGCAAUGACGGGUAGCUGGGUUGAGAGACCGACCAGCCAGAUUGGGACUGAGACACGGCCCAGACUCCUACGGGAGGCAGCAGUGGGGAAUCUUGCACAAUGGGCGAAAGCCUGAUGCAGCGACGCCGCGUGCGGGAUGAAGGCCUUCGGGUUGUAAACCGCUUUCAACAGGGACGAGGCGAAAGUGACGGUACCUGCAGAAGAAGCCCCGGCUAACUACGUG